rnacentral:rRNA from 1 species
UGGAGAGUUCAUAGUGGCGGACGGGUGAGUAACGCGUAGAUAACGUACCUGCUAGACCGGGACAACCCUCGGAAACGAGGGCUAAUACCGGAUGAGCUUAAUUAGUGGCAUCACUGAUUAAGGAGAGAUGGCCUCUGAAGAUGCUAUCGUUAGUAGAUGGAUCCGCGUCUGAUUAGCUAGUUGGUGGGGUAAAGGCUUACCAAGGCGACGAUCAGUAGCCGGCCUGAGAGGGUGAACGGCCACACUGGGAGUGAGACACGGCCCAGACUCCUACGGGAGGCAGCAGUGGGGAAUCUUCCGCAAUGGACGAAAGUCUGACGGAGCAACGCCGCGUGUACGACGCAGGCCUUCGGGU